AUUGAACGCUGGCGGCAUGCCUUACACAUGCAAGUCGAACGGCAGCACGGGUGCUUGCACCUGGUGGCGAGUGGCGAACGGGUGAGUAAUACAUCGGAACAUGUCCUGUAGUGGGGGAUAGCCCGGCGAAAGCCGGAUUAAUACCGCAUACGAUCUACGGAUGACAGCGGGGGACCUUCGGUCCUCGCGCUAUAGGGUUGGCCGAUAGCUGAUUAGCUAGUUGGUGGGGUAAAGGCCUACCAAGGCGACGAUCAGUAGCUGGUCUGAGAGGACGACCAGCCACACUGGGACUGAGACACGGCCCAGACUCCUACGGGAGGCAGCAGUGGGGAAUUUUGGACAAUGGGCGAAAGCCUGAUCCAGCAAUGCCGCGUGUGUGAAGAAGGCCUUCGGGUUGUAAAGCACUUUUGUCCGGAAAGAAAUCCUUGGCUCUAAUACAGUCGGGGGAUGACGGUACCGGAAGAAUAAGCACCGGCUAACUACGUG
rnacentral:rRNA from 1 species